rnacentral:rRNA from 1 species
UGCCAGCCGCCGCGGUAACACGGGGGGCGCAAGCGUUAUUCGGAAUUAUUGAGCGUAAAGCGCGCGUAGGUGGCGUGGUAAGCGAGGAAUGAAAUCCCAUGGCUCACCCAUGGAACUGUUUCUCGAACUGCCAUGCUUGAGGACGGGAGGGGAAGGUGGAAUUCCUGGUGUAGCGGUGAAAUGCGUAGAUAUCAGGAGGAACACCGGUGGCGAAAGCGACCUUCUGGCCCGUUCCUGACACUGAGGCGCGAAAGCUAGGGGAGCAAACAGGAUUAGAUA